UUUCAACUUGAGAGUUUGAUCCUGGCUCAGAACGAACGCUGGCGGCAGGCCUAACACAUGCAAGUCGAACGCCCUAGCAAUAGGGAGUGGCAGACGGGUGAGUAACACGUGGGAACCUUCCCUAUAGUACGGAAUAGCCCAGGGAAACUUGGAGUAAUACCGUAUACGCCCGUAAGGGGAAAGAUUUAUCGCUAUAGGAUGGGCCCGCGUAGGAUUAGCUAGUUGGUGAGGUAAUGGCUCACCAAGGCGACGAUCCUUAGCUGGUCUGAGAGGACGAC
rnacentral:rRNA from 1 species